ACCUGGGUGGCUCGGCUGGUUGAGCAUCUGACUUCAGCUCAGGUCAUGAUCUCGCUGUUUGUGGGUUCAAGCCCCACAUCGGGCU
rnacentral:tRNA from 1 species